rnacentral:lncRNA from 1 species
AUGCCCAGACCAGAGCUCACUGCCCGCCGCCUCCGUAACCGGGACCAAAGCCCCUUUGCGAAACACCCAUGCCUGAGCUUAGCUCAGCUGGGCCGGCGCAGGGGCAGGAAAAGCCCGUCCUGGCAGGCGUCCUUGCCCCUCUUCAGUCUCGGCCUCUGGCUCAUCAGUUUCCUCAGUAGCUCAUGGGGCCCAGUGGGGUGUGCGGCGCCUCCGAAAGCCUGCAGAGAGGGUGCAGUUGGUCCAUGGAGUUGGGUCCCGGAGGUCACCAGGAGCCAUGCUUCAGGCUCCCACUUCUCGCGGCCGAGACACUGGCGUGGUGCUUCUCAUGCCUGCAUCUUCCGGGGACAGCCACCAUUUUCGUCGAUUCUCAAAAGAAUGGCCGAGAGGGAAGGGCCAGCAGAGAACUUAGAAACGGCAGCAAGUUUUGAAAGCGUUUUCUUCCCACCCCCACAUAAGUGUAAAAAGCUUGAAGCAGCCUUGCUGUACACAAAGGCACUGCGCGGCCACAGAGAGGUUUUGCCUGGCAUUCUGCAGAAGCAUUGCUGUAUCUUACCAGACAGGAAUACAGACCGUUAAGGCCUGCAAGGGUGCGGACACUGUGGUAUUUGACCCGACUGUGUGUAGCUCAAGUUUUGGACCAACCUGCCUGAGUCCGAAUUUCCACUGGAAAGUAUUUGACCUUGUGAGAGUUGUUCAACUCCCUAAGCCUCAGAUUUUUAAUCUACAGAAUACAGACGAACUGGAUAGAACUGGCCUGCAGUGUAAGUGAGACAUCUAUGAAGAGCAUGUAGAUCGCUCAGAACUGUGCCCGGCGCGUGUUCUCAUUCCACCCUCAGUCCUGUGAGGCUGUCGUCUCCAUUUUACAAAGGACACCCCAAGGCUCACAGACAUGCAGGAAGUAAAUCAAGGUGAAAUGUGAAUCUAGUUCCAUCUGACUUCAAAGCCGUUGCUACUUCAGUUAUUAGGGCCUCUCCUGGUCUCAGUAAGUGCUGAUUCUAAAACCUGCCACCGGGUGUUCACAGGUAGCGACGGCAUCUUCUGUGCGUCUGUGCUCAGUGAAUCUCUGGAAGGUGUGGGGUGGGCCCUGCUACGCUCCGCAAGGCCCCUGCUGUGCAAGACAAUGUCCCUUCUCUUCUGCUUGAAAUGAUGUUUAACUAGCAAAGUACAAUGGUGAAUACUUGGUGUGUUUCCUUGGGCCACAUAAUUUGAAUAAGCUGGGCUCAAACCACAUGCCUUGAUGUGGGUGCUGUGAUGCUGUUUGAAUGAGAAGAGGAUGCCGCCCAAGGCCCUAGACCUGGAACCGGGGCUGCGGUGGGCCUAGCCUGUCCCUACAUCUGCCGGCGAAGCUGCAGUCUUGGGACAGCCACCCUCUCCUGUGUGCCUUUCUUCUCUGUAAAAUGAGUAGCCGGGAUUGCAUAUUCUCCUGGUACACUCUGACUUUAAAAUUCAGUGUGCCUAUAAAUAUGACUAAGUGAUUUCACAACUAUAUUUAAAACUGCAUGAACAGACUCACGGGUAGAAAAACAGCAGUGAUUUGACUGAGCCACGCCAGCUUUCGGUUUUCCAGGAAGCAUGAUAAUUUGUAGAGUUUUCAGAAUGACAUUGAUAAGAGAUUGACAAAGUUAUGUGUCUGUCAUUGACCAGUUACUUCCCGUUUAGCAUGCAUUCCUGCAAAAUACAUGUGAGGGGAAGCAUCUUGUGGCGGACACUGUCAAUAAUGUUUAGACGAUGAUUGGUGUCUCUGAGCCUCGAUUCCACGAGACUUCAUCCUCAUUGUCUCUCGAGUUACGGGGGAAAAUGUGUAAUGAAAUGGCGAGUUUUAUGCAAACGGGGGAAAUGUAUAAUAAAAUGGCGAGUUUUAUGCAAAUAUCAAUGUUAGGAUGGAGGCCUGUUCUACUUCUAUAAUUUUAACGUCUUCGAAGACACAGACACCUUCUUCCCAUGGCUUGCUCAGAGGCUUCCCCAACCAGGGCCACCUGGUUAGGAACAUUUGGUCAGUGGCCACUGUUGGAAUGUUUCUUUCUAAACACCCUGCUUAACAUCACAUAGGAAUACAAUUUACCCUUUUAUCCUUUAUUUGUAAAAAUUUAUUGUGCUUUCCUGGCAUUAGAUAAAUAUUGUUUAUGUUAUAAAAGGUAGGGUGUAUACAAAAAGAAAAUAUUCAGUUAUUCCAUAUUCCUCCACUCUGAAAUAACCACUAUUGACAGUGUGCUGGAUUUACUUUCAGGACACACACAAGCAGAGACAUCCUUCCAUGAAUACAGACCCAUGCAUGCGUGGACACAGACACAGGCACAUAUGAAUGGAGGCACAGACAUACAUGAACAGACACACACACACACUGUGCAUAGACACUGGCCCAUGCACACACGAGUGCAGGCAGUAACAGGUGUGCAUACAUGUACACAUAUGCAUAGGCAGUCACAUGUGCAGAUAUGUGCACACAUUUACAGUCACACACAAGUACAUAUGUGUACACACAUGUGCAGGCAGGCAGACAAUGCAUAUGUGCACACGUGGAUAUAUGUACACACAUGCUGUCACACACAUGUACAUACGUGUACACACAUGCACAGUCACACACACAUACAUACGUGUUCACAGAUAUGCAGGCAGUCACAGCCACGUGUACCUAUAGUUUCAGAGAAGAAACUUUGCAUGCCUACAGUUUUAACCAGCUUUUAAAUAUUCAUUAUAAAUUGUAAAUACAGACAGUCCCCGAUUUAACCAUGGUUUGAUACACAAUUUUUUGACUUUAGGAUGGUUCAAGCAAGAUACAGGUUUGGUGAAUGCCAUAAGAGUGCUCCUCUGCUUCUGUUUUUCACUUUCAGGAUAGUUCUCAAUAUUGCAUGAGAUAUCUAACACUUUAGUGUAAAACAGGCCUUGUGCGAGGUGGCUUUUGCCCACUGUAAGCUGAUGCGUGUGUUCUGUGCACGUUCACGCUGGGCAAGGCUGAGCCGUGAUGUUAUGUUGAUUAGGUGUAUUAAAUGCAUUUUUGACUUACGGCAUUUUCAGCUCAUGAUGGGUUUAUUAGGAAGUAACCCCAUUAUAAGCCAAGGAGCGCCUGUCCCUGAAUGCAGGAACUUGGUGUUCUUAGACUACAGGAAUAGCUAAUUGCAUCCCAUGUACAUGGGAUAAUUCUUCCAACCCAGUCUCCUCAUCUUGACAUUUAAGUAGCUUCUAGUUCAUUACACACGUAACACAUUUUAAAGUAUCUUCUCCUUAAACUGCCUGGCUGUUUUCUCAGGAACUAGUUUGAAGGGCAGAUUCUCAGAAACCUUGAGUCAGGAGGUCUGUGGCGGGAUGAAAAGGACCUGAAUUUUUUAUGUGCUUCCCCAUAGAUUUCGAUGCGGCAGUGUGUGAGGAGCUUGUGUGACCUAUGGGCCUUAGAUCGAGAGAGGCUGUCACGUGCCCGGUCAUUUUGUGGGUGGGGGUCAUUUCGUGGGUGAGGGGUCAUUUCAUGAGUGGGGGGUCAUUUUGUGGUGGGUCAUUUAGUGGGUGGGGGGUCAUUUUGUGGUGGGUCGUUUUGUGGGUGGGGUCAUUUUGUAGUGGGGUUAUUUCGUGGGCGGGGGUCAUUUUGUGGU